UACGGAGGGUGCAAGCGUUAUCUGGAUUUACUGGGUUUAAAGGGUGCGUAGGUGGAUUGGUGAGUCAGUGGUGAAAUACUUUCGCUUAACGAAGGAACUGCCAUUGAUACUACCAGUCUUGAAUACAGUGGAGGUGGGCGGAAUGCGUCAUGUAGCGGUGAAAUGCUUAGAUAUGACGCAGAACACCAAUUGCGAAGGCAGCUUGCUACACUGUUAUUGACACUGAGGCACGAAAGCGUGGGGAUCAAACAGG
rnacentral:rRNA from 1 species